UACGAAGGGGGCUAGCGUUGUUCGGAAUUACUGGGCGUAAAGCGCACGUAGGCGGACUGUCAAGUCAGGGGUGAAAUCCCGGGGCUCAACCUCGGAACUGCCUCUGAUACUGUCAGUCUAGAGUCCGGAAGAGGUGGGUGGAAUUCCUAGUGUAGAGGUGAAAUUCGCAGAUAUUAGGAAGAACACCGGUGGCGAAGGCGGCCCACUGGUCCGGAACUGACGCUGAGGUGAGAAAGCGUGGGGAGCAAACAGG
rnacentral:rRNA from 1 species